rnacentral:rRNA from 1 species
AUUGAACGCUGGCGGCAUGCUUUACACAUGCAAGUCGAACGGUAACAGGUCUUCGGAUGCUGACGAGUGGCGAACGGGUGAGUAAUACAUCGGAACGUGCCUAGUAGUGGGGGAUAACUACUCGAAAGAGUAGCUAAUACCGCAUGAGAUCUACGGAUGAAAGCAGGGGACCUUCGGGCCUUGUGCUACUAGAGCGGCUGAUGGCAGAUUAGGUAGUUGGUGGGGUAAAGGCUUACCAAGCCUGCGAUCUGUAGCUGGUCUGAGAGGACGACCAGCCACACUGGGACUGAGACACGGCCCAGACUCCUACGGGAGGCAGCAGUGGGGAAUUUUGGACAAUGGGCGAAAGCCUGAUCCAGCAAUGCCGCGUGCAGGAUGAAGGCCCUCGGGUUGUAAACUGCUUUUGUACGGAACGAAAAGCCUGGGGCUAAUAUCCCCGGGUCAUGACGGUACCGUAAGAAUAAGGACCGGCUAACUACGUGCCAGCAGCAGCCGCGG